rnacentral:rRNA from 1 species
UACAGAGGUCUCAAGCGUUGUUCGGAUUCAUUGGGCGUAAAGGGUGCGUAGGCGGCGCGGUAAGUCGGGUGUGAAAUCUCGGGGCUUAACUCCGAAACUGCAUUCGAUACUGCCGUGCUUGAGGACUGGAGAGGAGACUGGAAUUUACGGUGUAGCGGUGAAAUGCGUAGAUAUCGUAAGGAAGACCAGUGGCGAAGGCGGGUCUCUGGGCAUUACCUGACGCUGAGGCACGAAAGCGUGGGGAGCAAACAGG